UUAGCUCAUAUUUCUAUGGAAUUGGAUCGUUUGCCUACGUUUGCCUCUAGGGACGCUGUUCCAACUGCAUACAAAAUUGGCCUA
rnacentral:pre_miRNA from 1 species